rnacentral:rRNA from 1 species
CCUACGGGUGGCAGCAGUGGGGAAUAUUGCACAAUGGGGGAAACCCUGAUGCAGCGACGCCGCGUGAGUGAAGAAGUCUUUCGGUAUGUAAAGCUCUUUCUGUAGGGAAGUAAAUGACGGUACCUGUUUCAGAAGCUCUGGCUAACUUCGUGCAAGCAGCGGCGGGACUACGUAGGGGGCAAGCGUUAUCCGGAUUUACUGGGUGUAAAGGGAGCGUAGACGGUGUUGCAAGUCAGAAGGGAAAGCCCGGGGCUCAACGCCGAGACUGCUUGUGAAACGGGGUGACUUGAGUGCAGGAGAGGUAAGCGGAAUUCGUGGUGUAGCGGUGAAAUGCGUAGAUAUCAGGAGGAACACCAGUGGCGAAGGCGGCUUACUGAACUGUAACUGACGUUGAGGCUCGAAAGCGUGGGGAGCAAACAGGAUUAGAUACCCUUGUAGUC